UAACGGCGAGUGAAGCGGCAACAGCUCAAAUUUGAAAUCUGGCUCUUUUAGAGUCCGAGUUGUAAUUUGCAGAGGGCGCUUUGGCUUUGGCAGCGGUCCAAGUUCCUUGGAACAGGACGUCACAGAGGGUGAGAAUCCCGUACGUGGUCGCUAGCUAUUGCCGUGUAAAGCCCCUUCGACGAGUCGAGUUGUUUGGGAAUGCAGCUCUAAAUGGGAGGUAAAUUUCUUCUAAAGCUAAAUAUUGGCCAGAGACCGAUAGCGCACAAGUAGAGUGAUCGAAAGAUGAAAAGCACUUUGGAAAGAGAGUCAAACAGCACGUGAAAUUGUUGAAAGGGAAGCGCUUGCAGCCAGACUUGCUUGCAGUUGCUCAUCCGGGCUUUUGCCCGGUGCACUCUUCUGCAGGCAGGCCAGCAUCAGUUUGGGCGGUGGGAUAAAGGUCUCUGACACGUUCCUUCCUUCGGGUUGGCCAUAUAGGGGAGACGUCAUACCACCAGCCUGGACUGAGGUCCGCGCAUCUGCUAGGAUGCUGGCGUAAUGGCUGUAAGCGGCCCGUCUUGAAACACGGACCAAGGAGUCUAACAUCUAUGCGAGUGUUUGGGUGUCAAGCCCGAGCGCGUAAUGAAAGUGAACGGAGGUGGGAACCCGCAAGGGUGCACCAUCGACCGAUCCUGAAGUUUACGGAAGGAUUUGAGUAAGAGCAUGGCUGUUGGGACCCGAAAGAUGGUGAACUAUGCUUGAAUAGGGUGAAGCCAGAGGAAACUCUGGUGGAGGCUCGCAGCGGUUCUGACGUGCAAAUCGAUCGUCAAAUUUGGGCAUAGGGGCGAAAGACUAAUCGAACUAUCUAGUAGCU
rnacentral:rRNA from 1 species